rnacentral:rRNA from 1 species
AACGAACGCUGGCGGCGUGCCUAACACAUGCAAGUCGAACGUGAUUGGAAGCUUGCUUCCAUGAAAGUGGCGCACGGGUGAGUAACGCGUAGAUAAUCUACCUGAUGGACCGGGAUAACACUUCGAAAGGGGUGCUAAUACCGGAUAAGCCCACGGAGUCCUUGGACACUGCGGGAAAAGGCGGGGACCUUCGGGCCUUCCGUCAUCCGAUGAGUCUGCGUACCAUUAGCUAGUGGGGAGGGUAAAGGCGUACCAAGGCGACGAUGGUUAGCGGGUCUGAGAGGAUGAUCAGCCACACUGGAACUGAGACACGGGACAGACUCCUACGGGAGGCAGCAGUGGGGAAUUUUGCGCAAUGGGGGAAACCCUGACGCAGCAACGCCGCGUGAGUGAUGAAGGCCCUUGGGUCGUAAAGCUCUGACAGAGGGAAAGAAACGUGGGUGGCUAAUAUCCAUUCCACUUGACGGUACCCUCAAAGGAAGCACCGGCUAACUCCGUGCCAGCAGCCGCAGUAACAC